rnacentral:rRNA from 1 species
CACGGAGUUAGCCGAUGCUUUUUCUCCGGGUACUCUCAUCGGGCCCUCGCAAGGACCCCGUUGCUCCCCGGCAAAAGAGGUUUACAAUCCGUAGGACCGUCUUCCCUCACGCGACUUGGCUGGUUCAGGCUCCCGCCCAUUGACCAAUAUUCCUCACUGCUGCCUCCCGUAGGAGUCUGGUCCGUGUCUCAGUACCAGUGUGGGGGACCUUCCUCUCAGAACCCCUACGCAUCGUCGCCUCGGUGGGCCGUUACCCCGCGACUAGCUAAUGCGCCGCAUGCCCAUCCCCCGCCGGAAUCGCUUCCUUUGGCCGCCGGGCCAUGCAGCCCAGCGGCGUUACGCGGUAUUAGUCGGGAUUUCUCCCGGUUAUCCCCCUGCCGGGGGCAGGUCGCAUACGUGUUACUCACCGUGCGCCGGUCGCCGGCAGGCGAAGCAAGCUUCGCCCCGCUCGCCCCUCGACUUGCAUGUGUAAGCCUGUCGCUAGUCGUUCAUCCUGAGCCAGGAUCGAAACUCU